UUUGAGUUCCUAGGAAUAGUUGUGACUGUAAUUACAUUGUAUGUAUGUGUUAGAUUUUUGAGAUACAGCUUGUUUCACCUUUUCCCUCUCAAAAUAAAUCUUAAUAGAGACGAAGUGAAAAAAACGUUGGCACUUAAGAGGACAGGAAGAAAAGGUUACAGUGCUGAUUAAAUAAAACCUGUUUGCCCAUAUUCCAUAAAGGAAUAUAUUCACUAGUUAUUAAAACUAUAUUAGAAGGAAAUAAUAAGAAAAAAACCCAAACAUCUGCACCUAUUCUCAAAUAUUUGUAAAUAGGUAUUGUACUUCCUGGAGAGAUGUGAGUUGUUUGAUUUUACUUGGUUCUUCGUUCCUCCCUCUCUUCCGCAUUCUCCAUCCUUCUCCUUCUUUAGAUGACACUAUCAAUUUAGUCUACUCAGCUGCGAUUUAUACAAUGGAACUUUCGAGAGUCUCGGAGCCCUGCUUGCUGCAGUGUUAAUCGAAACCUGCAGCCACUACUUGAGACAAGCGCACAGCCACACCUGCCCCCUUGUGUUCGCCUGCGGUCUCGUCCUCAUUCCGGAAGUUCGAGGGCUCGGAGUUUGGAGCAUGCGCAGUCACAGGAGCCCGCGAGUUCGUGAGUACCCAGACGUCUACGCUCCGCGUCAGCUACUGGGUUCGUGCAGAACUAACUUGAGUGUAAAAGAUUGGCGAGUUUACUUCAGACUACUCAGCUUGCUGGCCUCGAUGGGACAAGGAAUAAGGAAAGCAGAGUAUGAUCACUUGAAUAGUGUCAUGAUGGUGGGCUGCCAUCUGUGGGGUCGCACAGAGUCGGACACGACUGAAGUGACUUAGCAGCAGCAACAGCAUGGCUGUGUCAUAAUUUUUGAACCAUUCCAAUGGCAACUCACUCCAGUAUUCUUGCCUGGAGAAUCCCAGGGACAGAGGAGCCGUCUAUGGGGUCGCACAGAGUUGGACAUGACUGAAGCAACUUAGCAGCAGCAUCAGCCAGUACUGCUGGAUUCAUAGCACUCGCAGUUUUUUUAUGAUUAUAAUAUUAAAAUGAACUUUUAAACGUU